GGGGAGUAGGGUAUUGACAAAUUCAUGAUGUUUUUAUUUUUUUAUUUUAAGCUUAAUCCAACCUGAUUCUUUUCAUACUUUUGUUUAUUAAAAUCUUUUUUUGGUGCUAUAUUUUAUACAUAGUAGUAGAAAACAUUGUACAAGUUUAUUAGUAAGUUUAUGUUUUUGUUAUUUAAUUUUAAAAAGUUAUAAAAUAGUCA
rnacentral:lncRNA from 1 species